GCUUCCCCUCUCUAUGACAUCAUGCAGUCCUCCAACAUGACUUUGGCCACACUCUCUGGUGAGGCCAUCACAAAGCCUGGCCUAGGACACAGGGGAGGGGACACAGGCUCUGCCUCUUUUUGGGAGAACAGUGUAGAUCUGAGAAUGCAUGUUUGGAAAAGUGAUCUACAAACAGAAGGAGAGUGGAGUCACAUGUGCCAUGCAAUGAGUCACUGAAGAAAUGAAAUACACAAGGCUAACUAACUUCCCAGAUGAUUCAAGACCAGCUCCACUGUAUUGGAGAGUGUGGGGUUGGGUCUGACCUCCCUGGAACAAGAUGACUGUGCUGGUCAUGAAUGAACCCUGCCUGGCUGGAAAUAGCUGCAGACACAGCUUUCCCUUCCAGGCCAGGGACUUAAUUGUUCCUGCUCUUGCACCUCAAACUACUCUACAGUAGCAAACCAAGAGUGGGCUUUCAUCAUUCUUCUUCCAUCUUCUGCAACAUUUCUGUGUGGACAAGAAACAUAGGCCAAUCUCCUCCCAGCUAGGGAGGCAUCUGAAUGGAAAACAAAAGCCUCUGUUCCCAAGACAAGAUAAAGGAAAUUGUACUUUUGUGGAGAAACCUGAAAGAAACCUUCUUUGAGUUUCUGCUACUUUUAUGCAAAUGAGGAUCCUAAGAAUGCACAUUGUGAUCUCAGGUUGGUCAUUGAUUAUCAUCACACCUAUUCAGAACUCUGGCUACAUUUGAAGGCAUUGAAGACAACUCAGUGUUUGUCUUAGGAUAACCUGAUGGAGGUAUGUGAUAAAUUAAUAGAAAAUCAUAUCUGGAACCACAAGAAUAAA